rnacentral:rRNA from 1 species
GUAACGGCGAGUGAAGCGGGAAAAGCUCAAAUUUGUAAUCUGGCGGUCUACGGCCGUCCGAGUUGUAAUCUGGAGAAGCGUUUUCGGUGCCGGCCCGCGUACAAGUCCCCUGGAACGGGGCGUCGCAGAGGGUGAGAAUCCCGUCUUUGAUGCGGUCUCGCCGGUGCCAUGCGAAGCGCUCUCGAAGAGUCGAGUUGUUUGGGAAUGCAGCUCAAAACGGGUGGUAAAUUCCAUCUAAAGCUAAAUACGGGCGAAAGACCGAUAGCGAACAAGUACCGUGAGGGAAAGAUGAAAAGCACUUUGGAAAGAGAGUCAAACAGUACGUGAAAUUGUUGAAAGGGAAACGCUUGAAGUCAGUCGCGUCUCCCGGGACUCAGCGGGGUCACUCCCGCGCACUUCCCGGGUUUAUGACGGGCCAGCGUCGAUUUCGACCGUCGUAGAAAGGCGAGAGGAAAGUGGCGGUCCUUCGGGGCCGUGUUAUAGCCUCGCGUCGUAUGCGAACGGUCCGGGAUCGAGGGAUGCAGCGCGCCUUCCUUUUCGGAGGAGGGCCGGGGUUCGCCCACGUAACGCGCUUGGGACGCUGGCGUAAUGGCUUUAAGCGACCCGUCUUGAAACACGGACCAAGGAGUCUAACAUGCUCGCGAGUGUUCGGGUGGAAAACCCGCGCGCGUAAUGAAAGUGAAAGGUUGGGACCCCUUCGCGAGAGGGGGGCACCGACGCCCGGACUCGAGCCACCGGUGACGGUUCCGAGGCGGAGCGCGUAUGUUGGGACCCGAAAGAUGGUGAACUAUGCCUGAGUAGGGCGAAGCCAGAGGAAACUCUGGUGGAGGCUCGUAGCGAUUCUGACGUGCAAAUCGAUCGUCGAACUUGGGUAUAGGGGCGAAAGACUAAUCGAACCRUCUAGUAGCUGGUUCCCGCCGAAGUUUCCCUCAGGAUAGCAGAGACUCGCCUUUUGCAGUUUUAUGUGGUAAAGCGAAUGAUUAGGGGCCUUGGGGUCGAAACGACCUUAACCCAUUCUCAAACUUUAAAUAUGUAAGAACGGGCCGUCG